rnacentral:rRNA from 1 species
CUCGGUGACGUACCCCCGGGUCGGGGAUAGCGGCGGGAAACUGCCGGUAAUACCCGAUACUCUGCCUUGAUUUUAGCUUGGGGCAGCAAAGGUGUGAUUCCGUCUGGGGAGCGGCCGAGGCCGUAUUAGCUAGUUGGUAAGGUAACGGCUUACCAAGGCAAUGAUGCGUAGGGGGUGUGAGAGUAUGGCCCCCACCACUGGCACUGAGACACUGGCCAGACACCUACGGGUGGCUGCAGUCGAGAAUCUUCGGCAAUGGGCGCAAGCCUGACCGAGCGACGCCGCGUGCGGGAUGAAGGCCUUCGGGUUGUAAACCGCUGUCGGAGGGGAUGAAAUGCAUGGGGGUACUCCCCUGUGUUUGACAGAGCCUCGGAGGAAGCACGGGCUAAGUUCGUGCCAGCAGCCGCGGUAAUACGAACUGUGCGAACGUUAUUCGGAAUCACUGGGCUUAAAGGGUGCGUAGGCGGCGGCACAAGUCAGGUGUGAAAUCCCCCGGCUCAACCGGGGAACAGCGCUUGAAACUAGGUCGCUC